GACGGAAACCGUAUUGGUACGUCGUUGUUAUGAUUCCCCUCUGACUCUUUUAUCCGAUGUCCAGUGUGCUCAAUUUUCUGAUUGUUAAGGAAGAUCAGAAUGGAUGCCCUUGAUCACAUGCUGACCGACCCCCUAGACUCAGGGGAGGGCAAUGAUGGGCGCAUCACUGAAGAGUGCAUGUUGGGAAACUGUCAAGUGAGUCUUCCAGAAGACCUGCUUGAGGAUCCUGAAAUCUUCUUCUCUGUGCUGAGUGAAAGCACCUGGUCUGAAGUACUGACAGAUGACCAGAGGCAGCAUCUCCGGCAACUGUUACCACACUUUCAAGAAGACAACACUAGUGAGCAGGACAGCACCAUCAGCAAACUCUUCAACAAACAGAACUUCUGCUUCGGAAACCCCUUGCAUCUUGCACAGAAACUGUUCCAAGAUGGCCAUUUCAAUCCGGAAGUGGUUAAGUACAGACAACUGUGUGCCAAGUCCCAGAAAAAACGCCAGCUGAACUCGUUGCAGCAGUACUACCACAAACUCCUUAAACAGAUCCUGGUCUCUAGAAAGGAACUGUUAGAGUUGGCUGUCCGCAGUGGCCCUGACAUUGCGGUGAACAGAAAGUAUCCCACCCAGACACAUGGUGAGGUGCAGGAACAGAGGGUCAGAGGAAGAGUGUGCCGGAUACUGAGGGAAGUUAAAACUGAGUGUGGAGACAGCAAUGCCUCAUCUGACGAUGAUGAUACAGCCUCUUGGCUGCCAACACCUCAAUCUCCUUCCUCUCCAACGCCCACAGUCUCUGUCAGGGUUCUGCCCAGUCUCUCCACCCAGGACAUGAAGACCACCGAUAAGCAAGAACUGGGAGAGAAGGACAUGAGAGCCAUGCUACGGAGACAUAGAGAGAAGAGGAGACGACAACCGGAUCAUCCAGACUUGAUGACUUCUGACAUCCGCCUGGGUGACAUGAUGUCUAGAGUGAACAUAGGUCGUAAAGGCUCCAUGAUGACACUGUUUGACCUGGCUCUGCCCAAGAGGAAGAUGAGGGAGGAGAGGAGAAAGAAGAAGAUGAGGACAAUUAAAGUGGAGUCUGAGGAUCCCUGUGAGGCUCUGAUGCCUUCAGAAGCCCCAGCUCCAUCAGUUAACAUCACAGCUGCUCUGCCUGAGACCCCAGUCACUCCACUGCCCAGUGUCAAGGAAGAGCCAAUGGAGGAGGUGCAGAGCAGCCCUGUCAUGGUGGAGGAGAUCGCUGUGAGCUUCUUCAACCUGCUGGAGAACAUCCUAAAACUAGAUGGCCUCGCCAGCACCACCAUGUUGGAGGAGAAGGUCCAACAGUGGCAGACAUCUCCAGCUAGUUCCCUGAAUCCCUGGUUCUCCUCGGCCUCCUGCUGGUCAGAGAUGGUGCUGCCGGCCCUGCACUUCCUGGCUGGGGAGACUAAAGUCGGUAUGUUGGUUCUUCCCAGUGGCUUCACUCCCUAUGUGGCGUUCAGGGAAAACUCCCAGCGAUGGAAAUGGAUUGGUCCCAGUCAGGAUGGAGAGAAGGAUUUGAGUGCUCUGUGGCAGCUGUGGGUCGACUCCAAGGACUUGGUUGUGGUCAAGACAGAAUGUGAAGAACUAACAGAGAUGACUUCUCCCACCCCUAGAGUCAGUUGGACUGACUUCGUGGUGCGGCCCAGCACAGGAGACGAGAGGCAUGUUUUCCAAGUGCAGGAGCAGCAGCGGUAUGACCAGCCACACAAAGCCUUCACCUUCAGAAUGCAUGGCUUUGAGUCUGUGGUGGGGCCUGUUAAGGGGGUCUUUGACAAGGAGAUGUCUCUCAACAAAGCCAGAGAACACACUCUGCUGCGCUCUGACCGCCCAGCUUAUGUCACCAUCCUCUCCUUGGUGCGGGACGCAGCAGCCCGGCUGCCCAACGGAGAGGGGACCAGAGCUGAGAUCUGUGAGCUGCUCAAGGACUCUCAAUUCCUGGCACCAGAUGUCACCAGUGCUCAGGUGAACACGGUUGUGAGUGGGGCUCUGGACAGGCUGCACUAUGAGAAGGACCCCUGUGUGAAGUAUGACAUCGGCCGCAAGCUGUGGAUCUACCUGCACCGCGACCGCGGUCAGGAGGAGUUUGAGAGGAUUCACCAGGCUCAAGCUGCUGCUGCCAAGGCCAGAAAGGCUCUGCAGCAGAAACCUAAACCUGCGUCUAAGCCUAAGUCUGGAAGUAAGGAGGGGGGUGGUAAGACCCCUGGAGGCCUGGAAGCAAGUGAUGUGGGGGGUCCCAUGUCCCCAACUCCGACCACCCCCACUACCAGCACCCCUGGAACCCCCAAAUCACCCCUCGCCCCUGUAGCCACAACCCCCACCAAAGCUGGGAUCCCAGAUUCAGUCAAGACCAGUCCUGGUGUUCUACUGGUAUCUCCUCCCCCCAUGCCCCAGCUGGGGACCCUGUUGUCCAGCAGCCAGUCUGGCCCCCAGGUCUCUCAGCCAGCUACCUCCCAACACACAGCCAGGGUAGUGGGCCACCAGUCAGGCUCUCUCCCACAGGUACGAGUGGUUUCUUCCCAGACAGCAGGAGGACAGCAUGCCACGCUGGUGCACCAAACCCCUCAUCAAAUCAGAGUGCCAGUCACCAUGGGAACCAAGGGCAUCACACAGGCUGUGGUGUCAUUACCACUGAGGACCCAGUCUGCUGGUAGCCCCAUCCAGGUGCAGGCGUCCAGAGGGCAGACAACCCUGUCAGUGUCAGGCCUGACGACUGCUGUUACUGUCCUCAAACCUCAGACUGCGUCCCCUGGCAGCCCAGCACACAACCCUACCUCCCCCGCUGUCCGACAGGGAGUCACCAGCCAGAACAUCAUCAAACAGGUGGCUAUCACAGGCCAGUUGGGCAUAAAGUCUCAAGGUAGACCGGGUCUUCCAAUAACGGCUACCAAUCUUCGCAUCCAGGGCAAGGAUGUGCUCCGCCUGCCCCCCUCCUCCAUCACCACAGACUCUAAAGGACAGACGGUGCUGCGGAUCACUCCUGACAUGAUGGCCACCCUAACUAAGUCCCCUCUCACCACCGUCAAACUCACCCCCGACAUGUUAGGCACUGCCACUACCAAGAGCAUAUCUGCUACUCUCCAUGUGACCCCACCCCACUCCACCUCCAGCCCAGCCUCCUCCUCGGGUGAAGUCCGGACCAGCAAGGCCUCUGCUGGCACCACCACCCUGUUGAAGGCUGCAGGGGAUACUAUCCGCCUGAUGCCCACCCUAGCAGUCACUAUGGCCGAGCAGAAGACCAGAACCUUCUCCACCGUCUCCUCGUCUGACUCGAAGAGUGGCACCACCAUACGGAUCAUGCCCGGCCUCGGGGUCAUCCCACAGAAACAGGGCCAAACCAUCACAACCACCACUGGCAGCAAACCAGUCUCCACUGGAGCUGCCACUGUCACCAUAGCCACCAGCGGACUGGCCGGAGCUAAAGGGGUGACGGUAGGCUCUUCUGCCUCAGGCUCCCUGACUCUGGGAACAGCCACAGCUACUGUCCGCCAGGUCCCCGUCACAGCCACAGUGGUGUCCACACAACCAGGGAAGUUACCAGCUCGGUUCACAGUGCCUCUGUCUGUCCUCAGCCAACCACUGAAAAGUAAGAGUGUGAUGACCACGCCCAUACUGAAAGGAAACCUCAGUACCAACUCACUGUGUAUGUAUAUGGUCGGUGCAGUAUCAGCAGUCUGGGCAGGAACAUCAUCCUCACCACCAUGCCUGCCGGUACCAAGCUGAUAGCUGGGAACAAGCCAGUCAGCUUUGUCACGGCUCAACAGUUACAGCAGCUGCAGCAGCAGGGACAGGCCACACAGGUGCGGAUCCAGACGGUGCCAGCCCAGCAGCUCCAGCAGCGCUCGGCAGCAGGCUCCCCCAAGUCAAUGUCCACUGUCGUAGUCACCACCGCACCCUCACCCAAACGGGCCCCGGACCCGCCACCACCAGCACAGUGACACGCAUUCCCAAAGCCAGAAACUGCUCUGUGCAGUGCCACCGCUCCAGAGGCAGGUGAUGCUUGGGAGCCAUAGCCCAACUCUGCUCUCUCAAUGUUUAGGACGGAUGUCUGGAGAUGAACACAGGAGUAAUCUGGCAGCAGGUGAACAUAGUAGUAAUCCCAGGACAGCAUUUCACUAGACCAUUUAUAGACAGUGGUUUCACCUGACAUAUCUGUUGUGCAAGGCAACACUAAUGAAAUAGCCUGCAUUUAGGGAGUUAACAUUAUUAAGGGUUACAUGGAGAAAAUUGGACCUCUUUGAAAUGAAAAUGUAUGGCCCUCCCUUCAGCACAAUAUAUUUGACCUAAACCCUCCCUGAACACACAAUAAUAAUAAACCUAAGUGGAUAGCAGAGGACGUCUAGCGCUUAGCCUUUACUUCUGGGACAGACCAGAGCCUCACGUAUGCAGUUUUACAAACUGUUCUUCGUCCUGUAAGCAUUACAUGGCAAAAUAGGACUUUUGAGAGCGAACAUGGCUGUGGGCUAGAAGGUUGUGGGUUCGCAGACCAAUGUGAACAAGAGUAGGGGUAGAAAGAUCUCCUUUAUAGUAAAAGCAUUGCAUGAAUCUAUUAUAAUGUCAUGCAGUUCUACGUAAUUUUACAUAUCAGCAGAAUAUUUUUUUAAUGC